GUUGUAAGGUUAAGAAAUUAAGCGUACACGGUGGAUGCCUAGGCAAUCAGAGGCGAAGAAGGACGUGUUAAUCUGCGAAAAGCGACGGUAAGCUGAUAAAAAGCGUAAUAGCCGUCGAUGUCCGAAUGGGGAAACCCAGUGUAGGAAACUACACUAUCAUCUAAUGAAUUCAUAGUUAGAUGAGGCGAACCGGGAGAACUGAAACAUCUAAGUACCCCGAGGAAAAGAAAUCAACCGAGAUUCCCUGAGUAGCGGCGAGCGAAAGGGGAGGAGCCCAAGCGGGUAGCAUAAAGUAUUAGUGGAAGCGUCUGGAAAGUCGCACGAUAGAGGG
rnacentral:rRNA from 1 species